rnacentral:misc_RNA from 1 species
GAAGGGAUGAAUAAUCCGUAAUCUGCAUAGAAAUGAAAUCAAAAGGGUCAAUCCUCUGACUACUUAUGAUCAUGGAGAAAAUAGAUGCGCUUAGCAACACAGAAUAGGACAUAUUAUGACUAGUAAAAUAAUAUCCCAUGUACUUUUGGUCAAGUACCCUAGGUUAGACAAGCUGGGCCUCCUAUGCAGCUGAGUUGGAGGGGACGGACAGGUUUUAGGAAACAAGUUGGGAUUGAUCACACAAGGGAUACCUCACUGCGCUGAUGACAGUGGAUUACAAACAAAAUUAGGUAAACACGCAAAUCUUAAGUGAAGAUAUGGCUUCGCUGAAUACACUAUUGUUGUGAUUCAAUAGAAUAUAAAUAUGACAU